UUUGAACCCUAUAUAAUCCCAUUUUAGAACCCUAAAAUCAAUUCCGUUCUGCCAUUCAAGUUUGCGCCGUAGCAAGUUUCCUCCACCAUUCCAGUCCCCUCCCAUGCCCGGCCAGAUAAUGACGAAACGAGGACGCCUUCCGACGACCCUCGCAACAAUAUGGAGAUCGUGGAGACGAGCGCUGCAUGGCUGUUGAACGCAUAGGCACGACGUGCGCGACAUGCGGGGCGACGUGCGGGAGGCUAUUGCGGCGCAAGGAAAAGAUUAGGGUUUUUCUGUUUAGUGUUCAGGCUAAUUAGGUUAGAUUUGGGCUUGCUCGGGUAUUGGGCCUGCAAUUUGGGUUAUUGGGUUUAGUAAUGGACUUCUAAUUUUAAAUUUGGAUCUCUGAAGUUUUAGGCUAAUUGGGCCGUGUAAAGGAUUUUGGGCCCCGGGCAAUAAUUGGGUAUUACACUAAUCAUCUCACUGUGUAUCUUAAUUUUAAUAGUACCAAUACCAAUUACCUUACUAGAUGAA